UUAUAAAAUUAUUAUUUUUUAGAAAAUUAAAAAUAAAAUAAAAUGAAGGGAGGGUGAGGGGGGGCACGGAGAGAGGGUGAUAUGAGCUAAGGUCGUCUCUGAGUCUGAGUCUGAGUCUGAAUCUGAAUCGAAGUAACAGUGAGAGAGAGAGAGAGAGAGAGAGAGAAUUGAAGGCAGGGAUGGGGCAGAGGAACAAGUCGAACAGCAACAGUGGGAGUGGGUCUGACACGGUACACUCACCGCUUGUUGCCUAUGCUUCCAUGAUAUCACUUCUCACACUCUGUCCUCCAUUUGUUAUUCUAUUAUGGUACACCAUGACACUCGCCAACGGAUCCGUUACGCAGACUUGGGAUUACUUCAAUCACAACGGACUGCAAUCUUUCCUUCAUAUAUGGCCCAAGCCCACACUCUUGGCCUACCAAAUCAUCGCCGUCUACGCCGCUUUUGAAGCCGCGCUUCAGCUUCUUUUGCCCGGUGAAACCGUCUACGGCCCAAUUUCUCCAGCCGGUAACCGACCUGUCUACAAGGCAAAUGGCGUCGCAGCGUACUUAGUCACAUUGAUUACGUAUCUUGCCCUUUGGUGGUUUGGAAUAUUCAACCCUACAACUGUUUAUGAUCAUUUGGGAGAGAUAUUCUCGGCACUUAUCUUUGGCAGCUUUGUCUUUUGUAUUUUCUUAUACAUAAAAGGUCAUUUGGCACCAUCUUCUACUGAUUCUGGCUCUUCUGGGAACUUAAUUAUUGAUUUUUACUGGGGAAUGGAGCUCUAUCCACGCAUUGGAAAAUAUUUUGAUAUAAAAGUUUUCACAAACUGCAGAUUUGGAAUGAUGUCAUGGGCUGUUCUUGCACUGACCUACUGCAUAAAGCAGUAUGAAGAAAAUGGGAAAGUAUCUGAUUCAAUGCUUGUAAAUACUACAUUAAUGCUGGUGUAUGUUACCAAGUUUUUCUGGUGGGAAGCUGGAUAUUGGAACACAAUGGAUAUUGCACAUGAUCGAGCUGGAUUUUAUAUUUGCUGGGGUUGCUUGGUGUGGGUUCCAUCUGUGUAUACAUCUCCUGGAAUGUACCUUGUCAACCAUCCUGUAAAUCUUGGCAUACAGCUAGCGCUCUUUAUUUUAGUAGCUGGCAUUCUCUGCAUAUACAUCAACUAUGAUUGUGACAGGCAAAGGCAAGAAUUUCGUAGGACAAAUGGAAAAUGCACAGUUUGGGGAAAAGCUCCUUCAAAGAUCGAGGCCUCCUAUACGACUACUUCUGGGGAAACAAAAAGAAGCCUUCUUUUAACCUCUGGAUGGUGGGGAUUAUCUCGUCAUUUUCAUUAUGUCCCCGAAAUACUAGCUGCUUUCUUCUGGACUGUUCCAGCUCUUUUCAACCAUGUAACCACGACCAUUUCUCUUUUUUGCCUUACUUCUACGUGAUAUUUCUUACCAUCCUCCUCUUUGAUAGAGCAAAAAGGGAUGAUGAUCGAUGCAGAUCCAAGUAUGGCAAGUUCUGGAAACUAUAUUGCGCCAAGGUGCCUUACAGAAUCGUUCCAGGAAUAUACUGAAGAAUGAUUGUUGACAAACGGUGGUCUGGAACCUUCCACCCGGUUUGUAUGCCAUGUGGAAACUAAGGACGCCAUCUGUACUUCUGUGUUGUUUUACCGCCUCUGCAUGGUGCCUCCUUAAGAUGCAUUGUAGACUUUCGCAUAGAACUAGUUCAUUAUUGAACCAAUUUUUUUAGCUAAUGUCGGGACUUGAUUACAACUCUAACUGUGUUUAUCUCUUUAUCUCUAUUUAUGUUAAACGUCUCUUUCCUACUGCCAAUGACUUCGAGAAAGGUGCUUGGCAUCGGAUUUUUAGUUUCUGAUCUAUUUUAAGGUGGUUGUCUUUGUUCUAGCUCUUUUUUACAUUGUACAAUUUCAACUUUUUAUCUGUUCCUUUUCUAUCCUGGGCUCUUGAACCUAUUUUAUAGUAUAUUUU